AUUGAACGCUGGCGGCAGGCCUUACACAUGCAAGUCGAACGAGUGGCGGACGGGUGAGUACUGUCUGGGAAACUGCCCGAUGGAGGGGGAUAACUACUGGAAACGGUAGCUAAUACCGCAUACCAUCGGAUCUGCCCAGAUGGGAUUAGCUAGUUGGUGGGGUAACGGCUCACCUAGGCGACGAUCCCUAGCUGGUCUGAGAGGAGGACCAGCCACACUGGAACUGAGACACGGUCCAGACUCCUACGGGAGGCAGCAGUGGGGAAUAUUGGACAAUGGGCGAAAGCCUGAUGCAGCCAUGCCGCGUGUAUGAUGAAGGCCUUCGGGUUGUAAAGUACUUUCGGCGGGGAAGCGUUACUCGCAGAAGAAGCACCGGCUAACUCCGUGCCAGCAGCCGCGGUAAUAC
rnacentral:rRNA from 1 species